CAUCUGUAACCUACACCACAGCUCACGGCAACUCCGGAUCCUUAACCCACUGAGCAAGGCCAGGGAUCGAACCCACAACUUCAUGGUUCCUAGUCGGAUUCGUUAACCACUGAGCCUCAACGGGAACUCCAUGUUAUCAUCGUAUUCUUUAGGCUGUUUCUUUAGGAGACCUCAAGUAGCUCUGAGCUCCAGCCGUCUCAGUUAAUAAAGAGAAAGUAAAUUCUCCUCAUUGCAAAAACUUUUGGAGCAGCAGGAAACCAACCUGUCAGCUGAAAUUGAUUUAUUCAUUCAACUGGAAUUAACGGAGACCCGUUUAACACAUCCCCUGAGAGGGAGCAGUUUACUUCAUUCACCCCAUAAGAUCAGGCUGAUCAUCCCAUGAUGGUGUAACAUAUUCAUGAGAAAGUCAGGGCAGAGAUGUCCAUUCCCACUUAAUAAGUGGAGAAAAUGAAGUACAAAUUUCCCAGUCACCCAAGAGAGGGAUUAGCGCACUAAUGUGUUCACCAGAUCAUCCUAUAGCAGAGUCUCCUCAGGUAUAGGACGAAUUCCAGGUUUCGUUUGCAUCUCUGUGUGUAUAUUUCUCCUAGCCAGAAAGCCAAAUGCUAGGACUUCCCGUCACAAGGAGAGAGAAACCCAGUUUUGCAAUAUUCCCCCUACACAAUCCUAAAUAUCUGGUAGCCUCUGUACUCUUCCCUUCUUUCUUAUAACCUCUCUUGCCCUUAUUUAGAAUACAGUGGACCCUUGAACAAGGCAGGGGUUAGGGGCACCCGACCCCCACACAUUUGAAAAUCCAUGUUGUGACUUUAUAGUUGGCCCUGGAUAGGAUUGAACCUAUCGAGCACUGUAUUUAGUAGAAAAAAAAUCUGCCUAGAGGUGGACUUGCACAGUUCAAAUUUUUGUGGUAGAGUCAACGGUAAUUCUCUGUUAGCGCUUUCUGUGUUACAGCUUGCAGGCUGUGGGAGAGUGCAGAGCCCGAUUAGCUAAGUUCAACUCUGACAUGCUGGCUCCAGGCAUUCCGUCCACGAUGAGGUGACAUGUGAUAUCGUGGCAGCUUCCAAAACUUCCACCUGGCCUUGAUCACCCGGGGUUUCCAGACACUGGUGUGUGUGUUGAUCUCAGAUGUGAAACAGCUGCUGGCUUCUGGGACUUCUCUGUAGCUAUGGAGACAGGAACACACCUAUGGAGAAUGUCAGGAAGUGGGCAGUAGUCUUAGGGCUAAAGCUUCCGGAUGGAUGCAGCCUGAUGGGCAGGUGUGGCAUGUGUUGAGGCAGGAUUCCAGGCCUGUCUUUAUCAAGUAUGAUGACAGCUACUGUACAGCUCGCUCCUCUGCUUUGCUUCCUUGUCAGGUGGCUUAGUGAUUCACUCACUUAUUUUGCAAAUACCUAGCUGUGUGCCAGGCACUGUUUAGGCACGGGAGACAGGGGUGAGGAAGCAGAGUCCCCGCCCUCACUGAGCUUACCAGGACAUGGGACUUUACAGCUAAAACUGGACACGUCCUGAGCAAACUGGGCCAACUUGGUCACCCCUCGGGGUGGGAUUGGGGGAGGGGGGAGAAGACACGUCAUGAGCAAAUACACUAGUAAAUACGGUAAGUUCAGAUAGUGAUACAGGCUGGUGAUGAACUACCUCUUAGCCUCUUAGUUGGAGGUGGCCGGUAGGAGGAGGCUUUCCUUGAUCUCUGGGCGAGGAGGGGAGGGAGUUGCAGGCCGAGGAAGCAGGGACAGAGCUGGGAAGUUUGAAGCAAAGAGAAGGGCUUGAGGCUGGAGUGGAGAGAGUCAGGGAGGCGUGGAAGGAGCCAGGAUUCUGCAACAUAACUAAUCCAGCAAAUCAGCAGGUACCGUGGUAGGGUCCUCCGUCAGGUCCUUUACUUGUGUUAAUUCAUUCUAUCCUCACAACAAAGGUGGAUUCAUAUCGUUAUCCUGACUGCGUUUAGAGAAGGAAACACAGUCAUAUCAUUAUUCUGACUGCGUUCAGAGGAGGAAACCCAGGUACCAGGGUACCAGAGGCAAGCGUGAGAAUUGAGCUGUGGGAGGCAAGCUUGGAGCCAAGGAGGAUGCAGUAGAGUCUGCCCCUCCCCGACUCUGGCCCUGCCCCAGGUGUUAGCAGAGGGGCAUCAGGGUCUGUUCUACACUUGGGCCCAACCCGUCUGGGGCCUCUGCUGGGACUCAUCCACUCCAGACCCAUCGGACCCCAGGGUCUGGAGUGUUAAAGUCACAGGUUGUCAAUGGGCUGUGUCUUUGUAAUAUAGUCACAAUAGGCUUCAAAUGAAGAAACCAGGGAGGUGAAACUAUUAUGGCAUAUUGCCUUUUUCACUUCCACUCUGCUUCUUUAUAACCACCCUCAAUAUAUUAUUCGUGUCCCUCGCUGAAUAUAGAAAACAACAUAACCAGCCGACUGCAGAGACUGUACUAUCAGCAACCAAAUUACUUUAUCGGCUGUGGUUAACAAUGGGUUUUCUUUCCUCCACCAUUUCUGAUAAAAUGUUUGCACAGCAUUAUAUGAGGAAACACAGAGCUACAGCAAUAAAAAACGAACAAGGAUAAUUUGUAUGUUGGCAUUUCCACAAUAGAAUGUCAAGUAUUUCAUACCCCAGUGAUAUUGAGCCUUUCUAAGCCAAGUGCUACUUUCUUUGAAAAAACUGCUUUAUGUUCAUUUUAUUAUUAAUCUUAAAAUGUAUAUAUACAUUAUAUACCCUCUCUGUAUGAUAUGUUUCUCAAACAAUAAUUUAAAGUCUGUAAUAAAAAUAAAUAUACAUUUUAAAUGAUUGCAUCAAAAUAUACAUUGAAAAUGAUACUGUGUCAGGCAAACUAACAGGUAGUUGCUGCUACUCUUCUUUCUAAGACUACCCUGCCUUCAUUUCACGUAAGGUCCCAUCCUUUUCAGAUUCCCAGCAAUGAUCACUUUUACAAAAGGAUUUUGUUGUUUUUGUAGAACAUAUUGAUUAAUCAAUGUAGACUCAUUUCUCUCAUUAUUCUUACAGUUCUGCUUCAUAUAGAAACUUUCCAGGUGGUAGAUAAGAAUAAUCAGAUCCUAAAUUUAACUAGAAAUCAUCAUGUUUUAAGAGUACAUGCAAAUCACAUAUUAUAAAAUGAGUUGAAAAGUAAUCUGUAUGCAUUAUUUGCAUGUCAGGGAUUUUAAAAAAUUCUUAAGAAAUAGCUUUUAAAUUAAACUAUAAUAGAUAGUUGAGACAGAAAAAUAUCAAAAGGAAAAAAAAGUAGGAGAGACCUGUAGUUAACUCUGACUUUGCAUUUUAAAAAGAACCCUCAUGGAGUUCCCUGGUACCUCAGUGGGUUAAGGACUUGGCAUUGUCACUGCUGUGGCUCAGUUAUUGCUGCAGCAUGGGUUUGAUCCCUGGCCUGGGAACUUCUGCAUGCUUCGGGUGUGGUUAAAAGAAAAAUGAACCCCCAAAGCAGAAGGAACCAGCCUUCAUGUCCCCCCAAGCUAUGUAAGAACUUGGUGAAGAGUUUGCAUGGUCCAAGGAGAUAUUUGAUCUCAGGUUCAGAUCUGGUCUGCAAGGGGCAUAAUGGAGGUUCAUGCAGCCUCCAGAGGGAGAGCAUUUGGGAACCUGAGGUGACUCAUCUUUGAAACUGCCAACAGAUCAGUCAGAUGGGAAUACAGACUCAGUGGAUGUUUUAUUUUUUUCCUGUCAAAGGUAAGAACAAUUCAGCAUCUCAGAGUGAGCGAUAGGUAAAAAUGUCACAAAUACCUGCCAACUGACAAUUGGAUACUUGGUCUCCAGGUCAUGGGGAUAAGGAAUGUGGGUAGUGAGUGCGUGGUUGAAGAAUGGUUUCCCAAAGAUGUGCUGUCACCUUGAUUUCAACCCCCAGAAUCUGUAAGUAUUACCUUAUGUGGCAAAAAAAAGUGAAAAUUACCUUAUAUAGCUGUCUCUCAAUGUCUGUGGGAGUUCCAGGAUCCUCUCUGCCCCAACAAGGAUACCAAAAUCUGCAGAUGCUCAAUUUCCUUAUAUAAAGGGUAGUACAGGAGUUCCUUUUGUGGCUCAGCCGGUUAAGAACCUGACUAGUAUCUGUGAAGAUGCAGGUUCAAUCCCUGGCCUUGCUCAGUGGGUUAAAGGAUCUGGGGUUCCCUUGAGCUGCAGCGUAGAUUGCAGAUCAGCUCUGAUCUAACAUUGCUUGUGACUGUGGCGUAGGCUGGUGGCUGCAGCUCCUAGCCUGGGAAUUUCCAUAUGCUGCAGGUGUGGCCCUAAAAAGAAAAAAAAAAAAAGGUAGUACAGUCUUCCUUCCAUAUUCUCAGAUAUAUCCUCAUAUAUCCAGAUUCUGAAUCUGCCCAUGGAUGUAGAACCCACAGAUACGAAGGCCGGACUGUAUGGCAAAAGGAUGAUUAACUUAAGAAUCCUGAGGAUCUUGUUCUGAAUUGUCUAGGAACGCUCUCAAUGCAGUCGUACAUCUUGAUAACAGAGAGGUGAAAACAGAGGAGUUUUGACCCAGAUCCACAUAGGGUUGAAGUGAUAUGAGGAUGAGGCAGAGAUUGGAGUAGUGCAGCCAUAAGCCAAGAAACACCUGCCAUCACCAGAUAAGGCAAAGAACCAUCACAGAGCCUCUGUAGGAAGUGCAGCUCUGCUGUCACCUUGAUUUCAGACUUCUGGCUUCUGGAACUGUUAUCACUUAUUACAGCAGCCACAGGAAUCUCAUACAGUGGCUGAUAAGUAUAGGAAGGGCUAAGGGAGGAAAUCAUUAUUUGUUUAUUUUUGGCCAUACCGAAUCAUGUAGA
rnacentral:lncRNA from 1 species